UACAGAGGGGGCAAGCGUUGUUCGGAAUUACUGGGCGUAAAGGGCGCGUAGGCGGCCCGCUAAGUCGAACGUGAAAUCCCCGAGCUCAACUCGGGAACUGCGUCCGAUACUGGUGGGCUUGAAUCCGGGAGAGGGAUGCGGAAUUCCAGGUGUAGCGGUGAAAUGCGUAGAUAUCUGGAGGAACACCUGUGGCGAAGGCGGCCAUCUGGACGGUAACUGACGCUGAGACGCGAAAGCGUGGGUAGCAAACAGG
rnacentral:rRNA from 1 species